GGAAGGGUGUUAAGGGACAAUUUUUACUCGGAUACUGAGAGUACACCAUAACCAAUUGAAAUCAAUCAUUAAAAGUCCAGAAAAGUGAGCGCAGAUACAUUGGUAUUUUUUGAGAGUGAGAGA